AUUGAACGCUGGCGGCAUGCCUUACACAUGCAAGUCGAACGGUAACAGGUCUUCGGAUGCUGACGAGUGGCGAACGGGUGAGUAAUACAUCGGAACGUGCCUAGUAGUGGGGGAUAACUACUCGAAAGAGUGGCUAAUACCGCAUGAGAUCUACGGAUGAAAGCAGGGGAUCGCAAGACCUUGUGCUACUAGAGCGGCAGAUGGCAGAUUAGGUAGUGGGUGGGAUCAAAGCUUACCAAGCCGACGAUCUGUAGCUGGACUGAGAGAACGAUCAGCCACACUGGGACUGAGACACGGCCCAGACUCCUACGGGAGGCAGCAGUGGGGAAUUUUGGAAAAUGGGCGAAAGCCUGAUCCAGCAAUGCCGCGUGCAGGAUGAAGGCCUUCGGGUUGUAAACUGCUUUUGUACGGAACGAAAAGCCCCGGGUUAAUACCCUGGGGUCAUGACGGUACCGUAAGAAUAAGCACCGGCUAACUACGUGCCAGCCGCCGCCGUAA
rnacentral:rRNA from 1 species